rnacentral:rRNA from 1 species
AAAGUCGUAACAAGGUUUCCGUAGGUGAACCUGCGGAAGGAUCAUUACUGAGUUCAUGCCCUAACGGGUAGACCUCCCACCCUUGAAAAUUUACAUUUGUUGCUUUGGCGGGCCGCUUCGGCUUCCGACUUCGGUUGGUGAGUGCCCGCCAGAGGAUUUAAACCCUGUAUUAAGUGUCGUCUGAGUACUACAUAAUAGUUAAAACUUUCAACAACGGAUCUCUUGGUUCUGGCAUCGAUGAAGAACGCAGCGAAAUGCGAUAAGUAAUGUGAAUUGCAGAAUUCAGUGAAUCAUCGAAUCUUUGAACGCACAUUGCGCCCCUUGGUAUUCCGGGGGGCAUGCCUGUUCGAGCGUCAUUAAAACCCUUCAAGCUUAGCUUGGUGUUGGAGCCUGCCGAUCGGCAGCUCUUAAAAUCAGUGGCGGUGCCUGCUGGCUCUAAGCGUAGUAAUACUCCUCGCUAUUGGGUCCGUGGGCGUCUUGCCAAAACCCCUAAUUUUCUAUGGUUGACCUCGGAUCAGGUAGGGAUACCCGCUGAACUUAAGCAUAUCAAUAAGCGGAGGAAAAGAAACCAACAGGGAUUGCCUCAGUAACGGCGAGUGAAGCGGCAACAGCUCAAAUUUGAAAUCUGGCUCUUUCAGGGUCCGAGUUGUAAUUUGUAGAAGAUGCUUUGGGUGUGGUACCGGUUUAAGUUCCUUGGAACAGGACGUCAUAGAGGGUGAGAAUCCCGUAUGUGACCGGCCGCCUUCGCCUAUGUAAAGCUCUUUCGACGAGUCGAGUUGUUUGGGAAUGCAGCUCAAAAUGGGUGGUAAAUUUCAUCUAAAGCUAAAUAUUGGCCAGAGACCGAUAGCGCACAAGUAGAGUGAUCGAAAGAUGAAAAGCACUUUGGAAAGAGAGUUAAACAGUACGUGAAAUUGUUGAAAGGGAAGCGCUUGCAAUCAGACUUGCGCGCAGUUGAUCAUCCGGUGUUCUCACCGGUGCACUCUGCUGCGUUCAGGCCAGCAUCGGUUUCGGUGGUUGGAUAAAGGCCUUGGGAACGUAGCUUCUUUCGGGAAGUGUUAUAGCCCUCGGUGCAAUGCAGCCUACCGGGACCGAGGACCGCGCUUCGGCUAGGAUGCUGGCGUAAUGGUUGUAAGCGACC